UAAAAACAUGGCCUUUUGAUUUUAAUUUAAGGUCUAACCUGCCCAAUGAUUUUUUUUUAAAUGGCCGCGGUACUUUGACCGUGCAAAGGUAGCAUAAUCAUUAGUUUUUUAAUUGAAAGCUGGAAUGAAAGGUUGAAUGAGAAAAUAACUGUUUUUUUUAUAUUUCAUUAAAAUUUUAUUUUUAAGUUAAAAAGCUUAAAUUUUAUUUAAAGACGAGAAGACCCUUUAGAGUUUUAUAAAAAUUAUUUUUUUUUCUUUUAAGAAUUAAUAAAAUAAAAAAUUUUGUUUUUAUUUAGUUGGGGGGAUUAAAAAAUUUAAAAAACUUUUUUUUUUAUUUUACAUUAAUUUAUGAUUAUUUGAUCCAUAUAUUAUGAUUAAAAGAAAAAAUUACCUAAGGGAUAACAGCGUUAUUUUUUUUGAGAGUUCAAAUCGAAAAAAAAGAUUGCGACCUCGAUGUUGGAUUAAAAUUAAAUUGUGGUGUAGAGGCU
rnacentral:rRNA from 1 species